rnacentral:rRNA from 1 species
UACGAAGGGGGCUAGCGUUGCUCGGAAUGACUGGGCGUAAAGGGCGCGUAGGCGGUUUGCACAGUCGGGCGUGAAAUUCCAGGGCUCAACCUUGGGGCUGCGUUCGAGACGUGUGGGCUAGAGUGUGGAAGAGGGUCGUGGAAUUCCCAGUGUAGAGGUGAAAUUCGUAGAUAUUCGCAAGAACACCAGUGGCGGAAGGCGGCUCUCUGGGACGGUACUGACGCUGAGACGGCGAAAGCGUGGGGAGCGAACAGG